GGCUCAGAAUGAACGCUGGCGGCGUGCUUAACACAUGCAAGUCGUACGAGAACGCUCUAGCUUGCUAGAGCAAGUAAAGUGGCGCACGGGUGAGUAACGCGUGGGUAAUCUACCUUCGAAUUGGGGAUAACGUUGCGAAAGCGACGCUAAUACCGAAUAACAUCCAUAAAGCUUCGGUUUUUUGGAUCAAAGGUGGCCUCUACAUGUAAGCUACUGUUUGAAGAUGAGCCCGCGUACCAUUAGCUUGUUGGCAGGGUAAUGGCCUACCAAGGCAUCGAUGGUUAGCUGGUCUGAGAGGAUGAUCAGCCACACUGGAACUGACACACGGUCCAGACUCCUACGGGAGGCAGCAGUGAGGAAUUUUGCGCAAUGGGGGAAACCCUGACGCAGCAACGCCGCGUGAGUGAUGAAGGCUUUCGGGUCGUAAAGCUCUGUCAAGUGGGAAGAACCUGCAGUAUGUUAAUAUCAUAUUGCACUGGCGGUACCACUGAAGGAAGCACCGGCUAACUCCGUGCCAGCAGCCGCGGUAAUACGGGGGGUGCAAGCGUUAUUCGGAAUCAUUGGGCGUAAAGAGCACGUAGGCGGCUUGGUAAGUCAGAUGUGAAAGCCCGGGGCUUAACCCCGGAAGUGCAUUUGAUACUGUCAAGCUUGAGUAUGGGAGAGGGAAGUGGAAUUCCUGGUGUAGAGGUGAAAUUCGUAGAUAUCAGGAGGAACACCGGUGGCGAAGGCGACUUCCUGGACCAAUACUGACGCUGAGGUGCGAAGGCGUGGGUAGCAAAC
rnacentral:rRNA from 1 species